rnacentral:rRNA from 1 species
AUUGAACGCUGGCGGCAUGCCUUACACAUGCAAGUCGAACGGCAGCACGGGUGCUUGCACCUGGUGGCGAGUGGCGAACGGGUGAGUAAUACAUCGGAACAUGUCCUGUAGUGGGGGAUAGCCCGGCGAAAGCCGGAUUAAUACCGCAUACGAUCUACGGAUGAAAGCGGGGGACCUUCGGGCCUCGCGCUAUAGGGUUGGCCGAUGGCUGAUUAGCUAGUUGGUGGGGUAAAGGCCUACCAAGGCGACGAUCAGUAGCUGGUCUGAGAGGACGACCAGCAAAGCGGGGACUGAGACAAGGCGCAGACUCCUAGGGGAGGAAGCAGUGGGGAAUUUUGGACGAGGGGCGAAAGACUGAUCCAGCAAUGCCGCGAGUGUGAAGAAGGCCGGCGGGGUGUAGAGGACGUUGGUCCGGAAAGAAAUCCUUGGCCCUAAUACGGUCGGGGGAUGACGGUACCGGAAGAAUAAGCACCGGCUAACUACGUG